GUCGGAGGUGGCGAACUCGGCGAUCCGCGACGACGACUUCGGGUCGUCGGACAGGACGAUCGUCGGGGCCUUCCCGGUG
rnacentral:tRNA from 1 species